rnacentral:rRNA from 1 species
UACGGGGGGGGCAAGCGUUGUUCGGAAUUACUGGGCGUAAAGGGCUCGUAGGCGGCCAACUAAGUCAGACGUGAAAUCCCUCGGCUUAACCGGGGAACUGCGUCUGAUACUGGAUGGCUUGAGUUUGGGAGAGGGAUGCGGAAUUCCAGGUGUAGCGGUGAAAUGCGUAGAUAUCUGGAGGAACACCGGUGGCGAAGGCGGCAUCCUGGACCAACACUGACGCUGAGACUCGAAAGCGUGGGGAGCAAAUAGG